CAGGUCGCAUGGUCUGUAUGCCAAAGAAUAAUCGCUGAAAGAUGGCCUCGCGUCUGAUUAGCUGGUUGGUGAGGUAACGGCCCACCAAGGCGACGAUCAGUAGCCGGACUGAGAGGUUGACCGGCCACAUUGGGACUGAGAUACGGCCCAGACUCCUACGGGAGGCAGCAGUGGGGAAUAUUGGGCAAUGGGCGCAAGCCUGACCCAGCAACGCCGCGUGAAGGAAGAAGGCUUUCGGGUUGUAAACUUCUUUUGUCAGGGACGAGAAGAAGACGGUACCUGACGAAUAAGCCACGGCUAACUACGUGCCAGCAGCCGCGGUAAUACGUAGGUGGCAAGCGUUGUCCGGAUUUACUGGGUGUAAAGGGCGUGUAGCCGGGUUGGCAAGUCAGAUGUGAAAUCUAUGGGCUUAACUCAUAAACUGCAUUUGAAACUGUUGAUCUUGAGUAUCGGAGAGGCAAUCGGAAUUCCUAGUGUAGCGGUGAAAUGCGUAGAUAUUAGGAGGAACACCAGUGGCGAAGGCGGAUUGCUGGACGACAACUGACGGUGAGGCGCGAAAGCGUGGGGAGCAAACAGGAUU
rnacentral:rRNA from 1 species